rnacentral:rRNA from 1 species
AUUGAACGCUGGCGGCAUGCCUUACACAUGCAAGUCGAACGGCAGCGGACCUUCGGGUGCCGGCGAGUGGCGAACGGGUGAGUAAUAUAUCGGAACGUACCUUUCAGCGGGGGAUAACGUAGCGAAAGUUACGCUAAUACCGCAUAUUCUGUGAGCAGGAAAGCAGGGGAUCGCAAGACCUUGCGCUGAUUGAGCGGCCGAUAUCAGAUUAGCUAGUUGGUGAGGUAAAGGCUCACCAAGGCGACGAUCUGUAGCGGGUCUGAGAGGAUGAUCCGCCACACUGGAACUGAGACACGGUCCAGACUCCUACGGGAGGCAGCAGUGGGGAAUUUUGGACAAUGGGCGCAAGCCUGAUCCAGCCAUGCCGCGUGAGUGAAGAAGGCCUCGGUGUAA